ACUCCUGGGAGCUCAGGCGGAGAAAAAUAAAUGGGGUCUCCCUAUGUUGCCCAGGCUAGUCUCAAACUCCUGGCCUCAAACGAUCCUCCUGCCUUGGCCUCCAAAGUAUUGGGAUUACAGGCGUGCGCUACUGUACCCGGCCUACUGCUGUUUUUUGGAAACUGAAGAUGAGAUGCAGUUUUGCCAUGUUGGCCAGGCUGGUCUGGAACUCCUGACCUCAAGUGAUCCGCCCUCCUUGGCCUCCCAAAGUGCUGAGACUACAGGUGUGCACCACUGCCCCCAGCCCAUGAGCCACUGCACCCAGCUCAGUAAGCACUUUAAAAGAAGACCUGGACAUCAGAACCUCUCUCCUCCUGGUUUUGAAGAAGCAAGCUGCCACGAGUCUACAGCUGUAAGGAAAUGAAUUCUGCCAGCGACCCCAUGUGCUUGAAAGAGGACCCCGAACCUCAGAUGAGACCCAGUCCCAGGAGACACAUUGAGUGCUGCCUUUCAGGACCCUGAACAGAGGACCCAGUUGAAGCAUCACCAGGCUCCCGACCCACAGAAACUG